GACGAACCGUGCGAACGUUAUUCGGAAUCACUGGGCUUAAAGCGCGUGUAGGCGGGCCGGCACGUCGGUCGCUGAAAUCCCCCGGCUCAACCGGGGAAGGGGCGCCGAUACGACCGGCCUGGAGGGACGUAGGGGGGGCUGGAACUUCCGGUGGAGCGGUGAAAUGCGUUGAGAUCGGAAGGAACGCCCGUGGCGAAAGCGAGCCCCUGGACGUCUACUGACGCUGAGGCGCGAAAGCUAGGGGAGCAAACAGG
rnacentral:rRNA from 1 species